rnacentral:tRNA from 4 species
GGAGAGAUGCCGGAGCGGUUGAACGGGCCGCACUCGAAAUGCGGUAGACUCGCAAGGGUCUCGGGGGUUCGACUCCCUCUCUCUCCG